UUACUAGUUACUUUAGUUACUCCACUACAUUCAUCUGACAGCUUUAGUUACUAGUUACUUGAGGUACUCAAUACAUCAUCUGUUACAGCUUUGUUACAUAGUUACUAUAGUUACUAGUUACUUUAGUUACUCCACUACACUAUCUGACAGCUUUAGUUACUAGUUACUUUAGUUACUCCACUACAUUCAUCUGACAGCUUUAGUUACUAGUUA